UACGUAGGAGGCAAGCGUUGUCCGGAAUCACUGGGCGUAAAGCGCGUGUAGGUGGAGCAGGAAGUCUGCUGUGAAAGCGCCUGGCUUAACCGGGCGAGGUCGGUGGAAACUCCUGGUCUAGAGGCCGGUAGAGGCAGGCGGAAUUCCGGGUGUAGCGGUGGAAUGCGUAGAGAUCCGGAAGAACACCGGUGGCGAAGGCGGCCUGCGGGGCAGUUGCUGACACUGAGGCGCGACAGCGUGGGGAGCAAACAGG
rnacentral:rRNA from 1 species